rnacentral:rRNA from 1 species
UACGGAGGGGGUUAGCGUUGUUCGGAUUUACUGGGCGUAAAGCGCGCGUAGGCGGAUCAGAAAGUUGGGGGUGAAAUCCCGGGGCUCAACCCCGGAAUUGCCUUCAAAACUCCUGGUCUUGAGUUCGAUAGAGGUGAGUGGAAUUCCGAGUGUAGAGGUGAAAUUCGUAGAUAUUCGGAGGAACACCAGUGGCGAAGGCGGCUCGCUGGCUCGAAACUGACGCUGAGGUGCGAAAGCGUGGGGAGCAAACAGG